UAAGGAAUAUUGGACAAUGGCCGCAAGGCUGAUCCAGCCAUGCCGCGUGCAGGAUGAAGGUGCUCUGCAUUGUAAACUGCUUUUGUUUGGGAAUAAACUUUCGUACGUGUACGGAAUUGAAUGUACCAAAAGAAUAAGGGUCGGCUAACUUCGUGCCAGCAGCCGCGGUAAUACGAAGGACCCAAGCGUUAUCCGGAUUUAUUGGGUUUAAAGGGUGCGUAGGCGGAUUAUUAAGUCAGUGGUGAAAGCCUGCAGCUUAACUGCAGAACUGCCAUUGAUACUGAUGAUCUUGAGUAUGAUUGAGGUGGGCGGAAUGUGUCAUGUAGCGGUGAAAUGCUUAGAUAUGACACAGAACACCGAUUGCGAAGGCAGCUCACUAAGCCAUAACUGACGCUGAUGCACGAAAGCGUGGGGAGCAAACAGGAUUAGAUACCCGCGUAGUCC
rnacentral:rRNA from 1 species